rnacentral:rRNA from 1 species
UCGGAUCGCAGGCUGCAACCCGCCUGCGUGAAGUCGGAAUCGCUAGUAAUCGCGGAUCAGCAUGCCGCGGUGAAUACGUUCCCGGGCCUUGUACACACCGCCCGUCACACCAUGAGAGUCGGGAACACCCGAAGUCCGUAGCCUAACUUUAACGAGGGGCGCGGCCGAAGGUGGGUUCGAUAAUUGGGGUGAAGUCGUAACAAGGUAUC